UCAGAUUGAACGCUGGCGGCAGGCCUAACACAUGCAAGUCGAGCGGUAGAGAGGUGCUUGCACCUCUUGAGAGCGGCGGACGGGUGAGUAAUGCCUAGGAAUCUGCCUGGUAGUGGGGGAUAACGCUCGGAAACGGACGCUAAUACCGCAUACGUCCUACGGGAGAAAGCAGGGGACCUUCGGGCCUUGCGCUAUCAGAUGAGCCUAGGUCGGAUUAGCUAGUUGGUGAGGUAAUGGCUCACCAAGGCGACGAUCCGUAACUGGUCUGAGAGGAUGAUCAGUCACACUGGAACUGAGACACGGUCCAGACUCCUACGGGAGGCAGCAGUGGGGAAUAUUGGACAAUGGGCGAAAGCCUGAUCCAGCCAUGCCGCGUGUGUGAAGAAGGUCUUCGGAUUGUAAAGCACUUUAAGUUGGGAGGAAGGGCAGUUACCUAAUACGUAAUUGUUUUGACGUUACCGACAGAAUAAGCACCGGCUAACUCUGUGC
rnacentral:rRNA from 1 species